UACGGAGGGGGCAAGCGUUGUUCGGAUUUACUGGGCGUAAAGGGUGUGUAGGCGGCUACGCAAGUCUGGUGUGAAAUCUUCACCGCUCACCGGGAAGGAGUCACUGGAUACUGCGUAGCUCGAGUGUGGUAGAGGCGAGCGGAAUUCCAGGUGUAGCGGUGGAAUGUGUAGAUAUCUGGAAGAACACCGGUGGCGAAGGCGGCUCGCUGGGCCAUCACUGACGCUGAGACACGAAAGCGUGGGGAGCAAACGGG
rnacentral:rRNA from 1 species